rnacentral:tRNA from 1 species
GGGAGGCUAGUCUAAACAGGACAACAGAUUUCGGCUCUGUAAGUCUCGGUACACCCCAAGGCCACCAA